CCACAUUGUACUGCUUCAGCAAAACUGGUUUCACCCGUGGUGGGAGUGCCGGGAUACUGACAUGAAGGAGCUCACACUUCGCCCCUACGCUUAAAGGCCUAUUUGCUGGCAAGCUGCUCACGUCGCCUCCAUCUGCAGCAUCCACCUGCGGCCAGUUUGGUAUAAAAAUCACACCUAUACCCAAAAGUGUUUAUACUGGUCUGAAAGCUGUGUGUGUGCACCAGGCUAAGAGCUUGUCCCUACUCUACAGGUGUUAGAACAAAGGCCAAAUACUCGCCUAUUAUUUCAGCUGUUCCCCAUGGCCAUAAACUCCCUUUCCCAUAUAUGAACAUAUAGCAAGACAAUCAAUCAAAGAGGCUCAAUAAAUGUAUCCUAUUUACGGCCCCAACAGAUGUAUUCUAUAUACCCCUAAAAGGGAAUUUAAAAAUUCCCUAGGUCAGCAGAAUGUAUGCACGUUAAGUCAUUUGUUACUGGGUAUAAAAAGGCUUGCUCUACGCUUGUAAGGUGUGCUCCUCCCUCUGGCAUGAGUCGAGGGGGACACCCGCUCAGCUGACUGAUCAAUAAAGAACUUGAAGCCGUCUUCUAGACUCCCGUGCCUCCUUGGGGUAAUUGGGCAGCUCCAGGGGGAAACGAGCCCAUUUGGCUAACAAAUGGCGACCACGAAGGGACUUCUCUCCCUGUAAAGGGCACUGACCGACGGCCGAGGGCGAUUCCGAGGAGUGGCCACCUCGAGCGGUUGGUUUGCUCGGGCCUCGGAUCGUCACAAUCGGCCAGGGCGGCUGUGUCCUCUCUAAAGAGAACUCUGAAGGACACGGAAGCAAGACGGCUUCAGAAGAAGGGGAAGUCUGACUGCCGGACGCGGCCACUUCGGGCGCUUUAUCGAUACGCGGCGCCAUUCCAGGCUCUCCCCUUGGACCAGACCGUGCAUCCGUUCCGGAUCGGUGACCAGGUCCUUGUCAAGAAGUGGAAACGCGACCCCCUUACACCACGGUGGGACGGCCCGCACACUGUCUCGCUCAUCAGCCAAACUGCGGUCAAAGUUCUCGGGAGCGUCAAAUGGACACACCAUACACGGGUAAAGCGGUUUCUGAGCCCUAGCCCGGAGACUGAACUAGCAGAAGAGGACACCGGCCCUCUGCCCACCCCGGCUCCGGACGCCCGGGGUGGCACAGGUGAAGACUCUACCUGGGAGUACCAGUACUUGGACGGACUAAAGGGACUGUUUAGAAAGAGAUAAUGAAAUUGCUGCUAAUAUCUUUGUUUAUAUGCUUCCACCACUAUUAUGGUUGGGAGAAUAGGUUUUUAUAGCUAGGGGAGACAAUAGCGAGUUCCUUCAAUCUUAGUAGCUGCUGGGUUUGUGGAGGUCCAGGGGAUUGGAAUGAAUGGCCUUGGGUAGCCCAGCCAGUGCCAGCUAAAUGGUGGAUUAGUAAUUUAAGUAUAGUCCACAAAGGAACAGAAGUUUGGGAUGAGGAUAGUAUUCCUUGGCGACUCUAUUCCUCUGAGAUGGGGAUCCUUUGUCUCAACCGAACAAAACCAGAAGGGGUGUAUGUGGGCAAAAGCCAAUGUGACUGGACUCUAUGACUAGGAUUUGACUGCUAUGAUCACCCUAGUUGCCAUACGUAUGACUGUUCUAAAUAUCAAGGACGGUGGAACCAUACCCACAUAAAACUCACUAAUCAUAGCUGGGUACAAUGUUCCUACCAACAGCAUACUGGCGAAGGCUGUAAGGCAGUUGGACAAGAUGGGUUCUUUGAUGCCCUCUUUCUAAGUUGCCAGCGAGAUAAUACCGACAGUAAGGAUCACGUGGUACGCUGGUAUCAGUGGGCAUGGCAACAUUCUAAUGGAACUCGGGUAACCCAUUUUAAUCAUUUUUGGUCUACUACCAAUAGCCCUAAAUUUGGUUGUAAUUGCGCUUGGAAGGAAGGGGCUGGGCCUUGGAAAUGUGACUAUUGUAAUCCUGACGGUACAUCUAUUGUAUUAGGGGGACCCCUGGAGAUGGGUAACUCUUUGUAUUAGGAAGAACCGGGCCCCGAGGACUAUCCCGAAACUUGGGAUGGCCCCUUUGCGAAUGGACAAUGGGCCCUAAAAGGCCAUUACUGGAUAUGUGGGCAACACGCUUAUCGGAGAUUGCCUCCAAAUUGGUCAGGAAUAUGUUAUGUUGGGUACAUUAGGCCCUUGUUCUUUCUACUACCCCAAAUUCAGGGAAAUAAGUUAGGAAUUAAGGUAUAUGACGAUUUGAUUAGGGAGCGGCGGUCCGUUGAUUCCGCAUUAACAGCUGGAAGCUCCCAAAAGUGGGGAGCUCAAGAGUGGCCCCCUGAAAGAAUUAUACAGCAUUAUGGUCCAGCCACAUGGAAUCCUAAUGAGUGGAUCUCAGGGGCAAGGGAGCCCAUUUAUAACUUGAAUCGGAUAAUUAGGCUGCAAGCCAUCUUAGAAAUAAUAACUAAUCAGACGGCUGCAGCUCUUGAUCUCUUGGCCGAUCAGCCCACUCAGAUAAGGAAUGUGCUCUACCAGCACCAUCUAGUUCUUGAUUAUUUGCUGGCAGAGGGAGGGGGAAUCUGUGCAAAAUUAAACGAAUCUAAUUGCUGUUUACAAAUAGAUGAUAAUGGAAAGGUGGUAAAACAGCUAACAAAAGAAAUGAGGAAGCUAGCCCAUGUCCCGGUCCAAGCAUGGGGUGGGUGGAAUACGGACUGGUUCCCGUCCUGGUUACCGCAACUGGGAUGGCUCCGAGAAGGCCUUCUUCUCUUUAUACUCUUUAUUACAACCCUAUUAUCCCUAGCUUGAUUUGCUCCCUGUGUAGUUGCAUUAGUCCGACGAAUGGCUAAUCAAAUUGUACGCCAACGCAUGAUGGCACUAUAUCAACCGGUUAAAGUUGAGGAUUGGGGGCCAUAGGGCUCUCAAAAUGCUUUUAAGGGGGGAGAACCUUGUUAGAACAAAGGCCAUAUACUCGCCUAUUAUUUCAGCUGUUCCCCAUGGCCAUAAACUCCCUUUCCCAUAUAUGAACAUAUAGCAAGACAAUCAAUCAAAGAGGCUCAAUAAAUGUAUCCUAUUUACGGCCCCAACAGAUGUAUUCUAUAUACCCCUAAAAGGGAAUUUAAAAAUUCCCUAGGUCAGCAGAAUGUAUGCACGUUAAGUCAUUUGUUACUGGGUAUAAAAAGGCUUGCUCUACGCUUGUAAGGUGUGCUCCUCCCUCUGGCAUGAGUCGAGGGGGACACCCGCUCAGCUGACUGAUCAAUAAAGAACUUGAAGCCGU